UCCGUCAAAGGACUUCAAAACUGCACAUACUGUGAUGGUUAUAUAUUUUGCCAAAAUAAGCUAAUUAGUCAGUCAAGAGGAAUCUCUUCUGCUCACUCAGUCCACUCACCCCAGAAUAUUUGUCUCCAUUGUCUCCUUUACCUCUAUAUUAUUAGAAACUCAGAAAAUAUAUUUUAUAUGUUCUAUAUUACUCCAAUAUAGAAAGUUUAUGUAGCUUUUAUUACUUAAAUAAUGAUUUUAAACUAUUAAAGCACUGUAUGAAAGUAAAUAACAGAAUUUGUGCAUGUUUUAACUAACUUUUAAAUUUGAAUUUACUAACAGAAACGUCAUAGUUACAGCUGACAAUGAGAUUUUCUUUGGAAAAAAAAUACAGCUGCAUAAUUAAACCAUGGCACUAAAUUCUAAAUAAUUUGUUAAACUCUAUAGUCAUCAAUGUAAUAUGACAAAUUAUUUUCUGAAAUUCUGUGUACAUGUGUAGUGGUUGUAAUGAGACAUUAACCUUAGCAGCAGUUUUAGGGAUUUUUUUAGUUCAGUUCACGCAGCCGAAACCAAACUGGUAUAAAACUGAAAGAUAGGAAGAGCACACGGCUG